rnacentral:misc_RNA from 1 species
UCUCCGUAGGUGAACCUGCGGAGGGAUCAUUACAGAGUUCAUGCCCUACCGGGUAGAUCUCCCACCCUAUGUUAUUAUUACUUUGUUGCUUUGGCGGGCCGUUAGGCUCCGGCCCGACUACCGGCCCCGGCUGGUAAGCGCCCGCCAGAGGACCCAAAACCCUGAAUAUUAGUGUCGUCUAAGUACUAUAUAAUAGUUAAAACUUUCAACAACGGAUCUCUUGGUUCUG